rnacentral:tRNA from 1 species
GACUUAGUGGUUCAAUGGUAGAGCGCUCUUCGUAGAACCAGAGGGUCCUAGGUUCGAUCUCCAACUGGGUUG